rnacentral:rRNA from 1 species
UAAGGAAUAUUGGGCAAUGGACGCAAGUCUGACCCAGCCAUGCCGCGUGGAGGAUGAAGGCCCUCUGGGUUGUAAACUUCUUUUAUUUGGGAAGAACUGUAGGUUUUCUAACUUACUUGACGGUACCAGAUGAAUAAGCACCGGCUAACUCCGUGCCAGCAGCCGCGGUAAUACGGAGGGUGCAAGCGUUAUCCGGAUUCACUGGGUUUAAAGGGUGCGUAGGCGGGCAGUUAAGUCAGUGGUGAAAUCUCCGGGCUCAACCCGGAAACUGCCGUUGAUACUAUCUGUCUUGAAUAACGUUGAGGUGAGCGGAAUAUGUCAUGUAGCGGUGAAAUGCUUAGAUAUGACAUAGAACACCGAUUGCGAAGGCAGCUCACUAAACGCUCAUUGACGCUGAGGCACGAAAGCGUGGGGAUCAAACAG